rnacentral:rRNA from 1 species
UACGAAGGGGGCUAGCGUUGUUCGGAAUCACUGGGCGUAAAGCGCACGCAGGCGGAUUGAUAAGUCAGGGGUGAAAUCCCGGGGCUCAACCUCGGAACUGCCUUCGAUACCGCGGGUCUCGAGUCCGGGAGAGGUGAGUGGAAUUCCUAGUGUAGAGGUGAAAUUCGUAGAUAUUAGGAAGAACACCAGUGGCGAAGGCGGCUCACUGGCCCGGUACUGACGCUGAGGCGCGAAAGCGUGGGGAGCAAACAGG